rnacentral:rRNA from 1 species
UACGGAGGUGGCAAGCGUUGCUCGGAAUCACUGGGCGUAAAGGGCGCGUAGGCGGGGAGGUAAGUCGGGUGUGAAAUCCCUCGGCCCAACCGAGGAACUGCGCCCGAGACUGCUUCUCUUGAGUCCCGGAGAGGAAGAUGGAAUUCCCGGUGUAGCGGUGAAAUGUGUAGAGAUCGGGAGGAACACCGGUGGCGAAGGCGGCAUCCUGGACCGACACUGACGCUGAGGAGCGAAAGCCAGGGGAGCAAACGGG